GACGAACGCUGGCGGCGUGCUUAAUACAUGCAAGUCGAGCGAGAACCUAUUGAGGGGUAACCCUCGAUAGGGGACAGCGGCGAACGGGUGAGUAACACGUGGGUAACGUGCCCCGGACACUGGGAUAACAGCGGGAAACCGCUGCUAAUACCGGAUAACCCUCAUAGAGCGCAUGCUCGGUGAGGCAAAGCUCCGACGGUCCGGGAUCGGCCCGCGACGUAUCAGCUUGUUGGUGGGGAACGGCCUACCAAGGCGGUGACGCGUAGCUGGCGUGAGAGCGUGGCCAGCCACACUGGGACUGAGACACGGCCCAGACUCCUACGGGAGGCAGCAGUAGGGAAUCUUGCACAAUGGGCGCAAGCCUGAUGCAGCGACGCCGCGUGAGGGAUGAAGGGC
rnacentral:rRNA from 1 species